AACGAACGCUGGCGGCAUGCCUAACACAUGCAAGUCGAACGAGACCUUCGGGUCUAGUGGCGCACGGGUGCGUAACGCGUGGGAACCUGCCCUUAGGUUCGGAAUAACUCCCCGAAAGGGGUGCUAAUACCGGAUAAUGUCUUCGGACCAAAGAUUUUUGGCCUUUGGAUGGGCCCGCGUUGGAUUAGCGAGUUGGUAGGGUAAAAGCCUACCAAGGCGACGAUCCAUAGCUGGUCGGGGAGGAUGAUCAGCCACACUGGGGCUGAGACACGGACCAGACUCCUACGGGAGGCAGCAGUGGGGAAUAUUGGACGAUGGGCGAAAGCCUGAUCCAGCAAUGCCGGGUGAGUGAUGAAGGCCUUAGGGUUGUAAAGCUCUUUUACCCGGGAUGAUAAUGACAGUACCGGGAGAAGAAGCACCGGCUAACUCCGUG
rnacentral:rRNA from 1 species